rnacentral:rRNA from 1 species
GUGGGGAAUAUUGGUCAAUGGGCGAGAGCCUGAACCAGCCAAGUAGCGUGGAGGAUGACGGCCCUACGGGUUGUAAACUCCUUUUAUCAGGGGAUAAAGUCCACUACGUGUAGUGGUUUGCAGGUACCUGAUGAAUAAGGACCGGCUAAUUCCGUGCCAGCAGCCGCGGUAAUACGGAAGGUCCGGGCGUUAUCCGGAUUUAUUGGGUUUAAAGGGAGCGCAGACGGGCUGUUAAGCGUGACGUGAAAUCCGGGGGCUCAACCUUCGGCUGCGUCGCGAACUGGCGGCCUUGAGUGGACGGUAGGCAGGCGGAAUUCGUGGUGUAGCGGUGAAAUGCUUAGAUAUCACGAAGAACCCCGAUUGCGAAGGCAGCUUGCCGCAGUCUUACUGACGUUCAUGCUCGAAGGUGCGGGUAUCGAACAGG